AAUGAAAUUACAAGUCCCAUGUUUGGCUCCUCACAAGUGCAUCAAACUCUAAUUUCACGGCUUCGUUCCAAUGGGGUUGGAGUUUGGCUUGUUUGUUGGCAUGAGGUGUGAGAAGAGGAGAAGUCUGAGCAAGAAUCUUUGUUGAUGCGAGCUAGCUGGCCUCGAAGACUAAAAAUCCUAGUCUGAGAUUUGUUGGCAAAUGCAGUAUAAAGAGAAUUUCAAGCUUUGUGCGAGGAGGGUUCUGCAGCAGCACUAGAUGCAAGAGUUGGAUCUACCGAUAAUAAGAGAGCGUUUUGGAUGAGUUGAUCUUGACAAAACUAUGUUCCGUAUGCAGGAUUUGGAGUGAUUUGGUCGUUUACGGUGAUUUUGGUAGGAAAGGUUAGUAAAUGAGCCAUCAAGAUGACCGAAAAGGUUGUGGCCAUGUAGAAGCAUGGAGAUAUUGCAAAAUUAUGACUGCCAAGAAGCUUUAUGGGUAGUUGAGCGGCUGGAUUGAAUUGCACAAUUAUUGCCGGAGUAGAAGAGUUAUCAGCAUUAACAAUAGGAGUGAUGCCAGCCAUUGAAGAAAAAGAGAGAAAAGAAAAGAAAAAUUAGGCUCGUAUGAGCUUACAAAUCUGAUACCAUAAAAAGUUACAGAUGUAGAAGUUUUAAUGAAUGAUUUAUUCACAUA
rnacentral:lncRNA from 1 species